CCUACGGGAGGCAGCAGUGGGGAAUAUUGCGCAAUGGGCGAAAGCCUGACGCAGCGACGCCGCGUGAGGGACGACGGCCUUCGGGUUGUAAACCUCUUUCAGCUCUGACGAAGCGAAAGUGACGGUAGGAGCAGAAGAAGCACCGGCCAACUACGUGCCAGCAGCCGCGGUAAU
rnacentral:rRNA from 1 species